rnacentral:rRNA from 1 species
UACAUGGGGUGCAAACGUUGCUCGGAAUUAUUGGGCGUAAAGCGCGCGUAGGCGGUUACUCAAGUCGGAUGUGAAAGCCCUCGGCUUAACUGAGGAAGUGCACCCGAAACUGAGUAGCUAGAGUACUAAAGAGGGUCGCGGAAUUCCCGGUGUAGAGGUGAAAUUCGUAGAUAUUCGGAAGAACACCAGUGGCGAAGGCGGCUCACUGGACUGGUAUUGACGCUGAGGUGCGAAAGCGUGGGGAGCAAACAGG